rnacentral:lncRNA from 1 species
UCAAAGGUUUUUUUUAAAGAAAGCAAAAGAAGCAUUGUUUAUUUUUUUGAUUCAUUUUAUUUGAAGUUUCAGGUGCUGUUUGAAAAAUGAACUAAAGAAACUCCAACGUGGAGAGUCCAGCCAGAUUGAGGCAUUUUUUGUGAUAUAAUCCACAGUUUUGCAAUUAUUUCUAAUUAUAAAAUGAUUCAUAGAUUAAAGUUCAAUCCCAGCUAUUAUAAACUUAAUUUUGCAUUCACCUCAUUUUUAUUUGUAGUAGAACAUCUCACGCAUGACUCAUGACUAACGGUAUGCUGUUGUGUUAGGGCAUGAAAAAAUGCAGAACGCCCUCCAUUUGGGCAGGAUCGAUUUCCUCGUGCAGCUGCGAACGGCUUACCUCCGUGCAAUUAUAAUGAGCACGAUAAUAGCGGCUACCAGCCCCGGCCCCCUGGGGCAGCAGUGAGUGAGUGAGUGCGCAUAGCGCGUGCCGCGGCCUGUCAAGUUCAGGGUUCGAUUCUCCUAUCCUCUCACUCAAACCUCCAUUUCUCCGGCCCAAGAAUCCGGGUGAGUUCUCAUCCGCGUACAUCUCACCGCGGAAGUUCAACUUCUCCGCCGUCGCGCCGGCAGUUAUAUUAAUUAGUGCACUGCCGAUGUGUUGCGUCAUUGCUCCGUACAUCUGACGUAACAACGUAACUUCUCUUCAUUUGAGCCCUGGACAACAGGGAGGCUUACGGGAGAAAGGGUUUACCUCAAGGAAUGGUUAGGCUCUUGAGUCGAUGCGGAGCGUGGUUUCACGGCGCUGGUCACGCGAAAGAAAACCCCUCGUUUUAUUUUGCCUGCGUUUCCUCGAUACUGGUGACUGAGUUCUUAUAAAAAAAAAAGUUGCGUUCAGACAUGAAUUGAAAAGGCAGAAUAUAAAAUGGACAUUUUCCCGAUUUGGUCCAUCAUUAAUAACGUCAGGCUUUUUCGGGUUUUUUAACCCCACCCUCCACUAUGUCAGUCUCUCCUGUAUCCAGCCUCCAUUGAAAGGAUUUGUGGGUAUUCUUGGACAGCUUCUUUCCCUCUAAAUACCUGACAAGAUCCAUCGGAGAUAGCCAACACGUUGCCUAAUUUUCUGAUAGAUUUUAUGGAGAGAAACUUUGCCGUAAAAGUUAAUCGGAUUCAGCUAAGAUCCACCCAACUGAUUUCAAAAAUACUAAUCAGAUUGUAAGAGAUCAUUGAUUCAUUCUCUUAUCUCUCAAUCAAAAUUAUUAAUUUAAAAAUAACUUAUGAAAAAAAUUGCUUUUUCUUUUUCUGAGUAACUUGAUUGUAUAAAUGUAAAGUGCCCUGAAAAAUGUCAAUUAUAUUCAUCGUUGAACAUGCCCAUUGACUCAUGUGACAAUCAGGCCCACAUUGUUCCUGCAUACUCUGUUCAAGGAUACAAAUAGAAUUACGGUAUGAAUCAUUCUGCAUUACUAACUUUUUGUCAAGUUGAAUUUUGCUGAAAAUAAAAAUUGAGGUUUGACGUUUUACCUUGAUGGUUUUGCCUGAGGUACAGAGAAACAUUGAAAACGAGUAAGUUUUUCGAGUAAAUUUCUUUGUUUACAAACGUAAGUACAUUUUAAAAAUAAAUAGGUAACCAAGUGUAACAUUAUCUCAAAAGAAACAGUCCUGCUACGCUAUGGCAUUCGGCUGAAUAGAGAUGAAUGUAAAGACUAAUGCAAAAUUUAAAAAAAAACUAAGAUCGAAUAUAAUAUUUACACAAUAACUACAUGUUUACUUAAACUUACUUACAUAACUAAUAAUAGAUUACGAUUACAGAUGUAUCUACAAAAAUUAACAUUCAGUAAUAUUUACAUUUUAAUUUUCACGAAAUUUAUCUCGUUAAGUAGACGAUGAAUUUCAAUUCGAAAUAAAAAAUAGAAAAAUAAUAAAAUUAUAAUGUCUACAGUGUUCUAAAAAUACUUUCAAAGUGCUUCAGAAAAUUAUAUAUAUAAUAUAUAGGAUACACCCCUAUGAGAUUCUGAAAAAUUGCCAAAAUUUGUGUACGGUUUUUUUAUGAAUUCUAAUGAAUUGAAAAGUUUUUGAAAACGGUAAUGUAUAAAAUGAGCCGAAGAGCACCUGUCACAGUAAAAUGACGGAAAGCUAAGGACUCACAAACAUUCUGUAAAAUUGUAGAAAGGGAAGAACAUACGAAUUAAGUUCACCCCAACCGCUCAACUAUCUUGUGACCUUGUUAACAGUGAUGAUAAGUACCUCUUGGUUAAUUGAAAUCUUCUGAUAAAAAAAAAAACUUUUAGGGAUGCACAAUUUAAAAUUUGUUUCUAUCUCCAUCCUUUUUUAACUUCAAUAUUUUCAUUUUUUGUUUUUUUGCUUUAUUUUGUGAAGAGAGAAACUGAGAAAAAACAGUUCGG